UUCGUAGGUGGCUAGCUAAGUCAGACGUGAAAUCCCUCAGCUUAACUGGGGAACUGCGUCUGAUACUGGUGGGCUUGAGUGCAGGAGAGGAACGCGGAAUUCCAGGUGUAGCGGUGAAAUGCGUAGAUAUCUGGAGGAACACCGGUGGCGAAGGCGGCGUUCUGGACUGCAACUGACACUGAGGAACGAAAGCCGAGGGGAGACGAAC
rnacentral:rRNA from 1 species